rnacentral:rRNA from 1 species
UACGUAGGGGGCAAGCGUUGUCCGGAUUCAUUGGGCGUAAAGAGCGUGUAGGCGGCCAGGUAGGUCGGUUGUGAAAACUGGAGGCUCAACCUUCAGAGGUCGACCGAAACCAUCUGGCUAGAGUCCGGGAGAGGAGAGUGGAAUUCCUGGUGUAGCGGUGAAAUGCGCAGAUAUCAGGGAGAACACCCGUGGCGAAAGCGGCUCUCUGGAACGGUACUGACGCUGAGACGCGAAAGCGUGGGGAGCGAACAGG